rnacentral:rRNA from 1 species
ACGGGUGAGUAACGCGUGGGAAUCUACCGUGCCCUGCGGAAUAGCUCCGGGAAACUGGAAUUAAUACCGCAUACGCCCUACGGGGGAAAGAUUUAUCGGGGUAUGAUGAGCCCGCGUUGGAUUAGCUAGUUGGUGGGGUAAAGGCCUACCAAGGCGACGAUCCAUAGCUGGUCUGAGAGGAUGAUCAGCCACAUUGGGACUGAGACACGGCCCAAACUCCUACGGGAGGCAGCAGUGGGGAAUAUUGGACAAUGGGCGCAAGCCUGAUCCAGCCAUGCCGCGUGAGUGAUGAAGGCCUUAGGGUUGUAAAGCUCUUUCACCGGAGAAGAUAAUGACGGUAUCCGGAGAAGAAGCCCCGGCUAACUUCGUGCCAGCAGCCGCGGUAAUACGAAGGGGGCUAGCGUUGUUCGGAAUUACUGGGCGUAAAGCGCACGUAGGCGGAUAUUUAAGUCAGGGGUGAAAUCCCAGAGCUCAACCCUGGAACUGCCUUUGAUACUGGGUAUCUUGAGUAUGGAAGAGGUAAGUGGAAUUCCGAGUGUAGAGGUGAAAUUCGUAGA